UGAGGGUGUGGUUUGGCCCAGUGAGGGUGUGGUUUGGCCCAGUGAGGGUGUGGUUUAGCCCAGUGAGGGUGUGGUUUGGCCCAGUGAGGGCGUGGUUUGGCCCAGUUGGGGUGUGGUUUGGCCCAGUGAGGGCGUGGCUUGGCCCAGUGAGGGCGUGGUUUGACUCUCUCCUUCUACAAUAGAAACAGUCAUGAAAAUAAAGAAAAAACAUUAAAUGAGACACUCUAUCCAGACUUUGAACUGGUGAUGCAUAACAAGUCUUAACGAGGCUGAAAUCAGCGAUUAGAGGAGAUGAGUUGUGAUUUGAGGGUCGUAUUCCGCCUUUGAUGGAGCAGCUGAUGUGAAAAACCUCCUUUAAAGCUGUCGUUUAGUCCAGAGGAAUAAAGGAGGAUGAUGUGAGUCUCUAUAUUCAUCUCACAUUAACACUCGUAUGAUUUUAAUCUGGAACAUCAGGAGUCUCUGUGGUCAUUUAACCCCAAUAAACCAACCUGCUGCUGCUGCUCUGGCUUUAAAACCUCUUUCUACAUGGUAGAAUACAGAAUACUGAUGGUUUAAAACCUCUUUCUACAUGGUAGAAUACAGAAUACUGAUGGUUUAAAACCUCUUUAUAAAUGGUAGAAAUGAUGCUUUUUUUGUCUCUGAGUUUCUUUCUGCGGCUGAAAGGAUAAACUGAGUGACAGCUGAGGAUUAAAACGGCUGAUUUAAAGCAGAACUGACUCACCAGCUGAGUUCAGAGGAGAUUUACUGAAUAAUUAUAUAUAGAAAAAGACAGGAAUGAAAGCAGGUUUAUAUCAGAAAACUGACAGAAAAAAGAACAAGUCCGGAGAGAAUAAAACGAACCCGAGGGACAGGAAGUGGCGUCCAGGAGGAGAAGACGACUAAAGAGAUUUAUUUUACAAAGAGACGUAAUUAUUUCAGACUCUGUGUGUUUGUCGUUUUAAUUACUGCCUUUUCUAUUUUUACUCUCCUUCGUCCCUGCAGGUUGCUUCGCUGCUUUCUGUUUUAUGUUCCGCUUGUUUUGAAUUCCGUCACAAAUUAAAGUUUCAUCGAAUAAUCGUGUAAAAGCUCCUCAGCAGCACAUUAAACAGCUGGAACGUCUCCAAGGAGAAGCAGCUCGUUGUUUGUAAGGUUUAAAAUGAAUCCGAGCAGCUUCUCUUCUGAAGACUGAAGCCUUUUCUAAUCUUAAAGACCUGAUUCAGCAGCAAGAUGUCUUCAGAUUCUGCAGCAGGAACAAAAGGAAGCCAGAUGAAAACAGAUGAUUUCUAUAUAUAUUUUAAGGCACUCUGUGAGGCGAUGGAACGUGUGAUAGCGGCUUCAUAAAGAGCUCCGGUUGGUUCCACUCUGCAGGAGCUUCUGGACCGAUAAGAACCAGAUCUGAGGCCGGGAGGACGAGAGGUUUUCCUGCUUAUGCCAGCAGGUUGGAAGUGAUUAUGUUGCUGUCUGCUGGUGACGGUGUGUAUGGAGGCCUGACAGCAGCCAGCGGCUCUGCUCAUUAAUGCACUGUACUGUUGUCAACUAAAGCCUGACAUGCCCUUUACCAUCCCACUGCAGGCACAGCAGCUAACGCUCUGCUUUUGUCAUAUUUUAAUAUUUCAUCACAUUCAGCUGCUCUGCUCCAGCCGCUACGUUACACAGUUACACACUCCUGUUUAUUAAAAUCUCAUCAUUUCUACACAAAGCUCACCUUCAUUAGAGCUAAUGAGGUGAGGAGCAUUCAUUUCACAUCUCAGACCACCUUAAAAAAACGAGACCACGACAAAAAUGAGACACAAAACGACAAAAACAAGACAAUAAAUGACAAAAAUGAGGCACUAAAUGACAAAAUAAGACACUAAACGACAAAAACGAGACACAACGACAAUUAAUUGACAAUGACAAUAUAUUAAACAGGAAUAACCAGGAAUUACAGCUGAUCUACAGCAUUAAAAAAUAAAUAUUAAACUUUCAAAUCAAAAAAUUAUAAAACUCUAAUAAUAAAAAUAAAAGUGGUAAAAAUCCAUUAUAUUGCUGUAAAUGUAAUACUGGCCAAAUCUGUUUUAUUUAGAGUUGAACCAUAAAUGAACAGAAACUAUUUUCUGUUUUUUAGUUACACUUGAGUUACACUAAGUGAUAUUUGCCAUUUUUUUUUGGAUCUAUUAUUUAGAGCACAGACCACUUUGCUGAUGUUUAUUACUUUUAAUUUUUUAUCAUGGAUUUAAAUUUUAAAGAAAACUUAAAGCUCACAGCAGCUGUUUAUGUUUGAUGUGUUGUUCUAAUGGAAUUAAAGCUAAAAACCGACAUUAUCCUGGAUUUACAGCGUCAUAGUUCUGGUGUUUCUGACUGUAUUUACAGCCUUUAAGUGUCACAUUUUAAAGCAGAGUUCCUGUGAAUCUAAUUAAAGCAGUGAAUGUGAUGAAGUCCCUGAUGGCCGAACGGAGCCGUCUUUACCCUGCAGUCACUCCAUCAGCUUAAUUACUUCCACUCAGAAUUUAUCAAGUAAUUUGACUGAGUUUCAAUUAAAAUCCAGCCUGUGAACGUUCCGGCGUUCCUCAGCUGAUCUCUGUUAUUCCAGCAGGAGAUGUGAAGGUUUGAGCUGUUUGCUGGGCAGAAGAACUAAUCCUCCGACUAGAAAGGUCUGCGUAACCUUUCUAACACAAUUUCACAAAAGACUGCUCUGUUUGUUCUGCUCGCAGAAAUAAAGCUAAUUACAACAA